AUAACUUCUUCUAAUCACCAUCUAUAAGCAGAUGAGGCAAUUAUCAAUCUUCAUCUUCUACUACAACUAAGUCAAAUGGACCAAGAUCCAACCAUCCAUCCCACAAAGACCUCUGUUUUGCUGACUA